AAGAUUGCAAAUGAGAUUUCCGGACUUCCUGUCUAAUGUAUAGUAGGGAAUGGCAUCGUUCACUUCUUCUGAUAAUGGGCAGUCCAUCCGGAUUAUUAUUCAGCAAUGUUUAAAUGCUAGUCUACAGUUACAAUCAUUGAUGGACGAACGAGAGGAAAAACGAUAUGUGCGGAUCAACCGUGGUAUUGUUGUACUAUUAUGUUUCCUGAAAGGUGCUUCUUUGGACAUGAUACCUAAAGCAGUAAAAGCAGUGCUAAACAUCAAGCUUAGUGAGUUGCCUGACGGGAGUAAAGUAUCAGUAUUGGACCUACCUGGUGAUGUCCUUAUUGUUCCUCAGGCAACACUGGGAGGAAAGAUGAAAGGGAAAAGCAUGCAGUACCAUUCCAACAUUGCCAAACAUGAGGCUCUGCCUCUUUAUGAAGAGUUCACCAAACUAUGCCAGGAGAUGGUUCUUUCUGAUUCAAAGAUCACAUCAGGACAUACAACCAGUCCACAAGUAAAAUGGGGAACAUACGGUAGUCGCCAAGUGCUGUCCGUAAAUACCAAUGGCCCUUACACGCAUGUCAUGGAUUUCUAAAUAGAAGGGUUUACACAGAAUUAAGAAAGACUUUUAAGAAACGUACGUUAAAUCCCGUACUCCGUGGUUGACAAAGAGAGCAGUGGUCCUAAUAUGUAUGUCAUGGAGUAAAAGAGGAGACUGGAAGGUACGGGAUACGCAAUCGUAACGAGUUCCUAACUGUAAAGAGCCAUGGCCCCUAACACACAUGUCAUGGACUUUUAAAUGGUUGCCAAUGAUGUGAGACUAUGACUGCAUCUGCUGAAUAUAUAUACCACCUAAACUCAUGAAAAUAGAAAUAAUUCUUUUGAAGAGUAAAUUUUAACAGU
rnacentral:misc_RNA from 1 species